AACGCGAAGAACCUUACCUGGGUUAGAAAACACGCGAACCCGGUAGAAAUAUCGGGGUGCUCUUCGGAGAACGCGUGGUUAGGUGCUGCAUGGCUGUCGUCAGCUCGUGUCGUGAGAUGUUGGGUUAAGUCCCGCAACGAGCGCAACCCUCGCCCUUAGUUGCCAUCAUUCAGUUGGGCACUCUAGGGGGACUGCCGGUGAUAAGCCGAGAGGAAGGUGGGGAUGACGUCAAGUCCUCAUGGCCCUUACGGGCUGGGCUACACACGUGCUACAAUGGCGGUGACAAUGGGAUGCUGAGGGGCGACCCCGAGCAAAUCUCAAAAAGCCGUCUCAGUUCGGAUUGCACUCUGCAACUCGAGUGCAUGAAGGUGGAAUCGCUAGUAAUCGUAGAUCAGAACGCUACGGUGAAUACGUUCCCGGGCCUUGUACACACCGACGCGUA
rnacentral:rRNA from 1 species